AUGACAUUUCAAAUUAAAAAAAAUAAAGAAACAUAUACUUUCCUGAAACACACCGAGUAUCGUCAAGUUCUGUCCCAACCAAUUAGGUUGCAAAUACAGUCUGUAUUUUUCAACAUUAAAUAUUUUUUCGCACAAAAAUUAACGAUAAAAAGUACAAGGCACAGAUUUCAAUUUUCUUAGUGCUUGGGCAGCUCUAUACUGCUUGAAUGUCACCAAAACAGGGGUGUUGAAUAAAAAAUUUAAAAAAGCCAAUUUUAACAAUAUCCUCCCUUUAAUUAUACAAAUCUGUUGUUAUAUAGUGUUAGGAAAUAUUCCAUUGUGCAUUCUUGUUUAAUCAGGUGUAUACAUUCAGCUUCAGUGGUCUCUCAACUGUGGUCUGAUGUUCAGAAAAACUAAUCCCAAAAGAAUACUAAACCAGCAAGAGCUUUGCACCAGGAAAUAUCCCAAUGAUAGCAACAUUAUUAUAGCCAAUCACAGUGAUCGAUCUGUGCCAUGAGGCUGAGCUCAAUACCUCAAUUUUUAAAGCACUGAAUACAGCACACUGCUAUGAAUUAUUAAGGAGAUGUGCUGGGAGAUCCAUUCAAAUGCAUACAAACUGCACUCUCUUUCUCUCUCUCUCUCACACACACACACACACACACACACACACACACACACACACUACAUUCAUUCACUCAGUACUUCUAAAGGUAGCUGUUCAUUAAAUCUAAGCUUGCCAAUGCAGAAGAACUGAACUGUUAGGCUAACACACAUUGUAUGAAUUUACAGGUCUAAUAAACAUGCUCUGCACGGUGACAUUAAACCCCAGACUAAAAAGUUUUCAUAUUUAAUAAGUGGCUACACACGCUACUAGAUAUAAUCUGAAAUGCUGUCCUGCAUGAAGUCGUUUCUUAAUCUUUCUUGGCUCCACAAACUUUACAUGAUGGCAUGGUUUCAAUGGUCAGACUACAAUCCAUCCAAUCCUGCAACCAUAGCAGAUGUCAAGUUUGCGCGCUCAUGGAUCGCGGGAGCGCGCAUCGUCUCUGUCCAGGGUGCUGAAAGGUAAUCGUUUGAGACAGUAAUCAGCUGUCAACAUUCAUCGUUUCAUUUGCCUCCCCUUCUGCUUUUCACAAGACGUGAUAAUGCAAAAUGAGCCACAUGAUGACCCUCUAUGAGGUGUCAAG
ensembl:lncRNA